GUUCAAGUUGCCCAUUCCUAGGUUAGAGUGCCGAUAGAGCAUGAAACUCUUAAUCUCAGGGUUGUGUGUUCGAACCCCAUGUUGAGCA